UUUGUGAAGAAAAAAUAGAGCACAGAAGGAGCACGGGCUCGCCUCCACUCCCUCUCACCCAUGGAGUCAUCGCCGCCGCCGCCACCCACACCGGCUGCUUCCGGCGACCUCGGGCGACGCGCAACACGCCCCCGAGCUACCCACGGUCCGGGCCUCCCUCCCCUCCGUCCAGAUUCUCCGCUCCCGUCCUCUACCUCCCGCUUGCAACCCCACCCCUGUGGCUAGGGUUUCGGGCAGGGCUUCGCCGGCGCGUCUCCGGCGGCCCCAGUUAUUUGGAUCAUCGUCGUGUCGCAAGUUUCCGACAUCGCUUUACACACCGUGGACUUCACCGGAAAUCCGUCUGCACGUACUCCGCUGUCCGCCGGAACUUCGUCUACCUGAGGACUGAGGCACGUACUACAGUGUAAUCAAUUUGCAUCUGUCAUCAACUACUACUUAAGCUCUAAACAAGUCAAUUCCUAAAACACCCUCCUGUCCUCAUUACAGGAUGUUCCUCAGGAAAAUAAUAAUUAGAAGUAGCGAUCAAAUGUGAUAAGUCUAGCUAAAUUUGUAUCUAGGAAGAACAACUACUGUAUGUUAGGAAAAGUUAAACUAAUAUCAUGGUGAUGGCAGAGAGGUAAUUUAAUUGACUAUUUUGGAAGUAGCAAUCAAAGGUGAUAAAGCUAGCUAAAUUUUAUCUAGGAAGAACAGUUGUUAUUUGACAAAUACCAGUGCUAUAUGGUUCCACUCUAAAUCACUGUACUUAAUUGGUUGAAGGUUUGCAUUAGUGGUUCAGAACAAUGUUAUAUGGUUUCACCCUAAAUCUCUGUAGUUAAUUGGCUUAAGGUAUACAUAAUUGGUUGGCUGUGAAAAUAUAUAUAAUAAAUCUUCAUAUUAUAACAGCUUGAAGAGGUUCACAAAAAAUUGGUACAGGAGUUGCAACAGUCUUGAUCAAGUAUUUUGCAUUUAUCAUCAACUACUACUCCCUCCGUAAAGAAAUAUAAGAGCGAUUAGAUCACUCUCUUGAUUUUGUGCGCAUUAAUUCAAUUCUGAAAGUUGAUUCAAGUCUAGACGUUGAUUCAAGUCUACAGUACUUGAAGUAGAUUCAUAGAAGCUACACUUCUGUUAGUAUGUGAACAGAAAGCUUAUCUUAUAUGUGUGAUUGGAGUUGCAGAAUAUGACUAGGGGAAUGAUCAUAGAUGCCAACACCUACAGUAUGAUUUAUCUUGAUAGAGGUGCAGGGGAUUCGUAAGUAGUUUUAGUAUUUUUUUCUAGAUUGCUCAAGUACUUAAGCUUCUGCAAUCAUGAAAAACAAAAGAAGGGACCAGUAGUCAGGUUCCAUUAAUCCUUCUGUAGGUGUUCUCUUUGAUGCCUUUCCCCCUUCAUUACCAAUACAAUGAUGCUUUCUCUGUUAAAAUCUUGACACUACAUUAUCAAUCUCAAUAGCUUAAUUGAUUCUAAGCUCACCAGAAGUAUUUGUUCACAAAUUUGGAUGAUCUAUCUCAUAUGCUUAUACCUGAACCCUCAAUAACAUAAUAUUCUUGUGCCAGAUUUUUGCCAUUCGGUAAUACUUAUAAUAGCAUACUUCCGCACUUAUACAGGCACGGGAAAGAAACAGAAAGUAGUUUCUUACGGGCCUCGUUCUGGACCUGUUCCCACUUAUAUAGAAUAUAUUUUCUACUGGUUUCAUCAAACAAAAAAGUCAUAAACAUUAAAUAUUUAAAGUUUUGUCUCGUUCGUACUUUCUAAAAUCUGAAAUUUUACUGAAAUCAUCAUAGAAAUUCCGCAAGAAUAUUAAAGGCACCCGUGUCAUUCAUCCCUACUAGAUGAUGAAUGCUAUUGCUAUUUUUUCUCAAAGAUGCCUCUUUUUCAUUAAUAAGAAAGCUCAGUAGACCAAAAUUCCAUAUCAUUUCUUCUUUCUUAAGGAAAACUGACUGCAGGCAGCAAUCACAGAUGUUUAGUCUAUUUUCAGUUGACAAUAUACUGAAUAAUUUGGCAGUGAACAAGUACAGAAAAUGUUGUUAAGAAGCGAUAGUUUUGAACCUGAGUUUAUAAAAGAAAUUGAACCAAUUCGUGUUGAAAAUAUCUUAGGCAUCAAGUCCACCAGAUUUGAGAUGUUCACAGAAACAUGUCAGUUUCAUGUUAAUAUGUUGACUAGGGGCCUUUUGUAGCUACUUUAAUGGAAAUUGUAGUACCAUAGUGUCCUGCUGCAUAUAAUAAAUUGCAAAGUGAAAGUAAAAAAAACUUAGGAUUUGGUUGUCUAUCCGAUCCAAAAGUAAGCAAGCAGGGGCCAUGUUGUCAAGGAACAGAGUUCAAAAACCAUCAAUCUCAGGAACACUCUGACCAUGUAUUUGAUUCUGUUGAAGACCCAAUAUAUGAUAAGAUGCUAUUUUCAUUUGCUAGGCAACCAUGAAAAUGUUUCUGUCCAAUUCAUAAUUUAAAUCAGUCCAGUGUGUUCUUUUAUUCAGUUAUUAUAAUUUUACUCCUGUGUGUUCUUUUGUUUAGUUCUGUGAGGAGGAAGGGACUACAUCGAUGUGUAAUAUGUUCUUUGUUCUACAACCAUACCUACAUGGGAUUAUAGUUCACUUAGAAAUCUGAUAUUAUUUUCCUCUAGAAAUGAGCAUUAGCCCUCUCAAGCUCCACGGGUCCUCUGAAAUUUUUUGCCAGAGCAUGCAGCCGAACCAGGGCUGCCCGGGCUUCAGCUUCCUCCACACUGUCGGAAACUGGUAACUCACAGUAUGUCGACAAAUACACUUAGCCUCUGUAAUCCCUGGCUACUGCUCCCGCCCAUCCCGGCCACUGAUCUGCUAAAAACUUGCGUCAUUGUUCAACUAGGCUGUGCCAUGCUCCGGUGGAGUCCACUGUAUGGGUGGCAGUGAAACAGGUAUUUGCGUGGUAAACGACGGGGUCAGUUGUUCCUUUCCCUUCUCUGAACUCAUCUUUUCCAUCGCAUUGCCUAUCUCUUACUCGUACUUCUGCAGGAAGCUGACAGAAUGUAGGACAUAUUUUUUUCCUUGACGGACUACUACAACACACGGGCAUUUUCAUGAAGAGAACAUAGGGAUUUUAAGUUUUUGUAGCCUGCACUGGAGGCUGUAGAGUUACGUUUUUGUACAUUUUGCGAAUCGUUUUGUUCCAGAUUCUCUUAGUGUAUAGUCUAACUACAUAAGGUUAUUUACUAUGUGCACAUUUGCUUUUUCCAUUGCUGAUCAUGUCCUUCUCUCUGUGCACUUACAUCCUUCUGUUAACAGUUUAGUUAUCUAAUAAUUAUUCAGAAGGGACGCUGCAUGUUCCUAGAUGCAUAGCUUUUCUUAUAUAGAUUUUCAUUACACUGAGAUUUUUUUGAGGGGUAACAAUGGGAUUUAAGAUAGUAUAUUUUUGUAGAAUUCUCAAACUAAAAUCCGAUCAAACCGUACCUUCAAAGGCCAACAUAAUGGCACUUAAAAUAAAUGCUAAUCUGCACUCACGCUGCAAUGUGCCCAUUCUUCUGGUGAUUUGGUCAAAGCUACAACCAAGCAAAGAUAUUUUACAUGCUAUAAGAAGUUAAGAACUAAGAUACGGAUUUUGUGUUCCCAGGUCUAUAAUAUGCGUGCUCAGCCGGUUCUCUGCAAGCGCUUUCGGCCAUGACUUCAAGUUCUGCAGCUAGGCCGUGAAGUGUUGGUCCUUCUCACCGUCCACCGAUGAUGGUGCCCGAGAGAAGUCAGGGAAGGAGUAAAGGACGUUGCUGUCAUGGUCGUCGAAACGACUUGCCGUGGAUGCAGUCACGCACUGGAUGCCAUCGACGGCUAGCCGUGGACGAGCACCUCGCCGCCUCCGCAAAAUAUGGAUGCACGGGAUUCUGGUGAUGCUGAUUCGUUUGGGAUCUACUUCUGACAGAUCAAUUUGGUUUGUUGGCUGCUGGGUGGCUUCACACGUAUGUAAUAUAACAUGGCCCCAGAGCUACACGUAUGUACCGUAACGUUUCAUCUUUCAAUUUUGACGUUCAAUAUGACUCCUUGGUCCCGUUUCUUAGGGUUCAUGACUGACAAUUUGUCUUGGGCUAUGGAACUAAAAUGUCUAUUGAAUGUUCAUAGAUGUCUUAAAAGGAGAACAAUUCAGACUUUAGAUGUACAUCAUAUUUGAUGCAUCAGUCUAAUCUGUACUUCAAAUUACAGUGUAUAAUUUGUUCGGACACUAUAUAUAUAUAUUUAAUGGAGCCGUCUAAGUUGGA